rnacentral:rRNA from 1 species
UACGGAGGGUGCGAGCGUUAAUCGGAAUUACUGGGCGUAAAGCGUGCGUAGGCGGCUUAGUAAGUUGGGAGUGAAAGCCUUUGGCUCAACCAAAGAAUUGCUUUCAAAACUGCUAAGCUUGAGUGUUGGAGGGGAUAGUGGAAUUCCUAGUGUAGGGGUGAAAUCCGUAGAUAUUAGGAGGAACAUCGGUAGCGAAAGCGGCUAUCUAGUCGACAACUGACGCUGUUGCACGAAAGCGUGGGGAGCAAACAGG